CUUUUCUCGUUAGUUUUUGAAGUAUGGCCUGCCCACUGACUUUGAUGUUGAAGGGCCGCGGUAUUUUGACCGUGCAAAGGUAGCAUAGUCAUUAGUUCUUUAAUUGUGAUCUGGUAUGAAUGGCUUGACGAGGCAUGGGCUGUCUUAAUUUUGAAUUGUUUAUUGAAUUUGGUCUUUGAGUUAAAAUUCUUAGAUGUUUUUAUGGGACGAGAAGACCCUAUAGAGUUUGACAUUUAUUAUGGUCUCUUUUCUGUUUGUGAGGGUUCACUGGGCCGUUUAAUAUGUUUUGUUGGGGUGAUGGGAGGGAUAUAACUUAACCCCUCCCUUGUGUUGUUAUAUUUAUUUAUAUUUGUUUGAUCCAUUUAUUUUGAUUGUAAGAUUAAAUUACC
rnacentral:rRNA from 1 species